UAGACAGGACCUGACUGAGAGGCCUCAGC
rnacentral:piRNA from 1 species